rnacentral:lncRNA from 1 species
CCCCACUCAACAGACAAGCAGGACGGCCAAUACAGAGACAGGCACAUUCUCACACACAGAUGAAGAACUGUACACAUAGUAUUAACAUGCAUUCAAAGGUAGACACUCAUACAUGCACACACAUACACACACACUGUACAGCCCCUACAUGACAGCCACAGCAGGUACAGUGGAUGCUUCAGUGCAUGCGUUCAUGCCCUGAAGAUUUAUUUUAUACAACGUUUGACAUGUUUGAACGAACCUACAUGCGGGAGCAUUGCAUUUUAUUCGGAACUUCAGCCCUGCGCUUGGAGAGAGCCAUAGGACGCGCUACCAACAUCAGGCUAAUGGAACGUGAAGUAUGGACUUUUUGACCGAAAAUACAUCUGUUGUGGACCUGGGAUGCUUUCUGAUGAAGACAACUAAAGGUAGGCGAUUAUUGACAAUAUUAUACAAGAUAAGAUGUGACAUGCGAUUCUUUCCAAGAUGGCGCCGAGCUCUGUAUAUU